GCAGUUGCUGCUUUCAAGACGAGAGGUAGUGUCUUUGUGGUAAUCAUAGAAGCUGUAGUUACAGUCUUCUAGGAGACAGGGAAAACAGAUAUUAGGACACUAAAUCUAAACUAAAUAAUAAACUAAAUCCCACUAAACAAUAUGCUGCUUAACCUUGGAAGAAAACAAAACAAUAAUUCUCAUAAUCAAGUUUCUCUGUAGAACAACAUUUCUUUUGUGUACAUACAGCAUACUCCUUACUACAGAGAAAGGCAAUCUCUAGUUUUCAAGAGUUCUCAUAUUGGUGUCACUUGUAAAUGGGUAAGUUCAUAGUAAUAACUGCAGACUAAUUCAGGCACAGGGUUUUCAACAACAAAUGGGGUAGGUAUACAGAUACAGAAUGUGAGUAUACUUAAUUCUUUUAGUUUUUCUAGUUCUUUGCUUGCUGUCAAUUAAUUUAAACUUUGUACUAGUUGCAAAUCAAUGAGGUACAUGUCAUUUCUAUCCUAACUGCUACAAGCUCACCAAUAUGAAGAAAGCCACCAUACAGUUCUGGAUAUCUGCUUCCUGAGACACAAAGGCUGGGGUAAAAGGACAGUGUCUUUUUCUUUCUUUUUUUUUUUUUUUAUGGUGUCACCCUGGAGAGAAGGAAGGGAAACUCACAUAAGGAUUAGCAUGUCGCCUCUGAGGUAGUUACCCUGGAGGCAAUGAGUCCCAAAGCUCCAGAUAAUGAAACAUGUUAGCCAAUGAGUAUAUAGUAAAUACCAGUUCUUGAUACUAAAGGGAUAUUAUGAGUUACUACCUAUAAUCUUUUCUCUGGAGAACUGCUGCAGAAGUGAUCAAAGAUGCAAUGAAACAUGACAAGGUGAAAACAAACAUCUGAGUUUUAAAAGCCUGAGAGAUCAGAAGAUGAACUGAGGUGAGAGGACUUGACUGAUGCUCCUUAAGUGCUAUUGCAGCUUUGAAGCUGUACUUUUCUAGACUUUUUACUAGAAUAAUUAAAGGAAUCAGUUACAAAACAAACAAAAAAAUAUAAACAAACUCAUUAUAUGGCCUAAACAUCUAUCUGGAGAUAGAUCAACAUUUCAGGAACAUGAAAAUUUAUCUGGUCAAACUCAUUGAUUCUGAUUUUGAUACUACUCCACCUUUACUGUAUAUUUGCACUGUCUGAUUUGGCAGCCACUAGCCACAAGUUGCUAUUUAAAAGGAAAUUAAUUGGCCAGGCGCAGUGGCUCACACAUGUAAUCCCAGCACUUUGGGAAACCGAGGCAGGUGGAUCGUCUGAGGUCAGGAGUUCGAGACUAGCCUGGUCAACAUGGCGAAAGCCCGUCUCUACUAAGAAUACAAAAAGUAGACCAGGUGCGGUGGCUCGUGCCUGUAAUCCCAGCACUUUGGGAGGCCGAUGCGGGUGGAUUGCCUGAGGUCAGGAGUUCGAGACCAGCCUGGCCAACAUGGUGAAACCCCAUCUCUACUAAAAAUACAAAAAUCAGCCAGGCCUGGUGGCAGGCACCUGUAAUCCCAGCUACUCGGGAGGCUGAGGCAAGAGAAUUGCUUGAACCCGGGAGGCGGAGGUUGCAGUGAGCAGAAAUUGUGCCACUGCACUCAGCCUGGUGAGAGAGCGAGUCUCCGUCUCAAAAACAAAAAAAAAAAUUAGCCAGGUGUGGUGGCAGGCGCCUGUAAUCCCAGCUACUCGGGAGGCUGAGGCAGGGGAAUCACUUGAACCCGUGAGGCAGAGGCUGCAGUGAGCCGAGAUCACACCAUUGCACUCCAGCCUGGGCGACAAGAGUGAGACUUCGUCUCAAAAAAAAAUAAAUAAAUAAAAAUAAAAACUAAAUUAAUUAAAUGUAAUUAAUUAAAACAAAAACAAAAUUAAAACAUCAGCUCCUCAGUUGCACUAGCCACAUUUCAAAUGUCAAAAGUCGCAUGUGGUUAGUGGUGACCAAACUGGACAGUGGAGAUAGACGGUAUUUCCAACAUCACAGAAAGUUCUAUCACUGUGCAAUACCAGUGAAAAGUACCUCCAUUCUCUCAGAAACACAUCUGGACAACUUCCCUUAUGAAUUUCUAUUUCAGUGUCUAUGCUUUUCUACUUAGGGGUAUUAAGUUGUUUGCUUCUAGGGAGUUACUUAUCUCUAUUUUUCUGCCUUAUGCGCAUAUACACAUAUUAUCUAAUCUUUUAAGAUCAUCAUCCAAAUCUUUGUUUCCUCUUCGCUAAGUGGCUUAUUCUCUUUGCCAUUGCCUCCUUAAAUGUGAAAUGAGAGUAAACGCGGAACACUGAUAUUUAUUUUGGGGUGCAGUGGAUCACCUAUCUUCGAUCAGUGAUGAAAACCAAAUAAAAGCCAAAUGCUAUUUAUUAUUAGAAAUGGUAUAUUAAUAGUAGUGUAACAGCAAGGACUGACUGCAUUAUCAGCAAUUUGUAGUAAGUGUUUUUACCACAGUGUAUUAGCCCUUGUUUUCCAUUUAAAACAUGUCGAUUUAAAGAACUUCUGAAGUGGUGAUCCAGUCACACCAGAUGGCGUUCAAUCCAGUGCUAUCGUGGAUUGUGGGAGUAAAGCUCUAGUCAGAACUCACUGACAUGGAUUUUAAAGAAACGCAUGUUGUUACUGCUUUAAGAGAAGUCAAUGUACUUUUGUUUCAAGUAAAUCAUCAAUAUUUUGAAUAACUCUAAACUGAUGAUUCUACAAAAUACUGACUAAAGCCUCAAACUCACCUGAAUUAUAUACUUACCAUUAACCCAACACUUUAAAAACACUGAAACCUAACAAGUUUGUUCACAUCUUAGGUUAGCAGUUUUCUUUUAUUUUACAACUAUGGUUAUGGCUGAUUUCACUACAUGAUUUCUAGCAUCUACAUACCUGUUUGUCUAGUAUACAGGCACAAGACCUAGUACUGUAUGCUUCAGUGAAAACUUUUUGAAGAAUAUAUUUACUAUUUAUUGACACCAAGACCCAGGUAGUGCUUAGAUCUUUACCCCUACUCUGGUGCUUCUUCUUUCCCAAGUAUUAGGGAACACAAACCAAACUCCUGGGUUUAGAUGACAAAAGGAAUUUAGAACUUUGAAAUCCAAGUCUAAUUAAAAUGUCUGAACUGUUCUGGAAGGAGGAAGAAGAGACAUAGAGAAGAAAGGUGUCAAACGACAAAUUAUUAUUAUUAUUAUUAUUAUUAUUAUUAUUAUUGCUGUUUAUUUAUUUUUGAGACAGGGUCUUGCUCUGUCACCCAGGCUAGAGUGCAGUGGCGUAAUCACAGCUCACUGCAGCCUUGACCUCCUGGGCUCAAGUAAUCCUCCCAUCUCAUUCUCCUGAGUACCUUGGACUAAAGGCAGGUGCUACCACACCUGGCUAAUUUUUUUUAUUUUUAGUAGAGACGUGAUCUCGCUAUGUUGCCCAGGCUGGUCUAGAACUCGCUCUCACGUAAUCCUCCCACAUCGGCCUCCCAAAGUGUUGGGAUUACAGGCAUGAGCCACCACACCCAACCAAGAGAUUUAUUUAUAUGAAAGCUGUGAUUUGUUUUUAGCUAGUUAACAGUGUCUAAGUAUGAUCACCUUUAAGAGAAGGUAGCUGUUUCUCCACAGUUUCAUGAUGGGGUCCUUUAUUUUGACAAAACCCAAAUUGCAUGAGCUAGAAGUUAAUGCAGAAAUACAUGGCAUGGCAAAUACUGCCAAUAGCAAAAUCCUUUUUAUUUAUUUAUUUAUUUGCUAAGUCAUUGUUGUCUGCCUGCCAAAUAUGAAGUAUUGAUUUAAAACAGAUGGACUCAGGCUGGACACAGUGGGUCAUGCCUAUAAUCCCAGCACUUUGGGAGGCUAAGGUGGGCGGAUCACUUAAGCCUAGGAGUUUGAGACCAGCCUUGGCAACAUAGUGAAACUCCACCUCUACAAAAAAUACAAAAAUUAGUUGGGCAUGGUGACACACACCUGUAGUCCCAACUACUUGAGAGGCUGAGGUGGAAGGAUCACCUAAGCCUGGGAGGUCAAGGCUGAGGUGAACCGUAAUUGCACCAUUGCACUCCAGCCUAGGUGACACAGUGAGACCCUGUCUCAAAGAAAACAAAAUAAAAUAAAAUAAAAUAAAAUAAAAUAAAAUAAAAUAAAAUAAAAUAAAAUAAAACAAAACAAAAUAAAAUAAAACAGAUGAACUCCAAUAUACAAAUCAGAAUUUAAGGGAUUAUUACUAUGGGAUCUAACUUCCACAUCUGUUUUAUAUUAUUUUGCUGGUUUAAUUUUGAAUGCAGUCAUGAUGUAUACUCAAACAACCACAAAUAGAAACUUUUCCCUUUUUUGUCUCCAAAGGUUUGUUUUCCAUUUGGUUUUAUUAACUGCUUUCUUCUUUACAUUUGCAUUAUGCCAUUAAAAAUUAGAGGGCUGUGAAUAUAGGUUGGAGAGUAUACCUGUAUUUAACUGUUCUAUUCUUUCACUUUUUCUGUAGAUUGGAAAACUUUUAAAAUACACCUAUAAGCAUGAGUUGACGUUAACUAAGUAAAGCAAACUGUUCCCAUUCCCUCUCCCAAAAAGAAUUCCUCAUUGCUUUCUCUACGCCUUGGUAUAUGCCAAUCACCCGACUUAGAAUAAAAAACUUUCUCCUCUUAGCAUCUCCCCCUGGCCCCCCGAUUGCUACUUAAUAUUUAAUUCUUUCUGAAGUUGUGUAUUUAAUAUAUGCCAUAUAUAACCUCCCAUUCGUCCUUGCCCUCAUACAUUAAAUAUAUGUAUUUAAUAUAUGCCAUAUAUAACCUCCCAUUUGUCCUUGCCUUAGACUUCCCUAUGACUGUUAAAAAACCCAGAAGCUCUGGCAUGCUUUGGAGGGCUUGGCCUUAUCUCCUCUCCAUCGUUUCGUGGAUCACACACUCCAACCACACCAGCCUACUUACGAUUCCCAGGGCAUACAUUUACUAUUUUGACGCCAUCCUUUUGUUCAUACUACUCUCUAUACUUGUGAAGCUCUUUCCCCUUUGCUCUAUCACUAAAAUCCCAUUCAUCUGACAGGGCCCUGCUCAGAUGCAACCCUCCUUGACAAGUACUUUCUGAUCCCUCUAGUCAAAAUUACUCUGUCCUCAAAAUUUCUCUACAUCUUAAAUUUUUUUAAUUCUUGAAAAUAGAAACUCUCUGAUUUGUGAAUUUAGUCUCCACAUUACCUAGAACAGUGCUUGCACACAGUAGGAACUCCACAAAUAUUUACAGAAUGAAUAAAAAUUAUUAAUAAUGAUAUACCAGACUUUUGGCAGGGACCACUGCUCUUUGUAUACCAGAAUCUACCACAUAGAUUGGUAGUACCAAUAAAUAGGUUAGUAGUGCCAAGCGCAGUGGCUCAUGUCUGUAAUCCCAACACUGUGGGAGACCGAGAUGGGUGGAUCACUUGAGCUCCGGAGUUUGAGACCAGCCUGGCAAACAUGGUGAAACCCUGUUUCUACAAAAAAUACAAAAAUUAGCUGGGCAUGGUGGCCUGUGCCUGUAGUCCCAGCUACCCGGGAGGCUGAGGUGGGAGGAUGGCUUGGGGCAGGGGUUUCAGUGAGCUGAGAUUGUGCCACUGCACUCCAGCCUGGGUCAAAGAGCCAGAUCCUGUCUAAAAAACAAACAAACAAACACCAAAAACCAGAUUUGUAGUUUACCUGUAAACUCAAAAACCAAAAACUCAGAGGAUCCUUUUGGUUUUUAACAUUAAACAUUUGCAUCAUUUGCAUUAAAUAAAACAAUAUUUAAAAAAGGUUGGCAAAAUCAAUUAAAUAUGUCAGGUGGGCUACUGGAUGGAGAGGUGCUAUACAACACUGUUUUGGAGGCAGCCCUGGGCCUCUUACCAUUCACCAUCCCAAAGCAACACAGACUACCAGGGAAAGGAAAAGCUAUUAUAUUUUGGAAAUGCUUCCUUUGAUUUUUUUUUUUUUUUUUUUUUGAGAUGGAGUCUUGCUCUGUCGCCCAGCAUGGAGUGCAGUACGAUCUCGGCUCACUGGAACCUCUGUUGCCCGGGUUCAAGUGAUUCUCAUGCCUAAGCCUCCUGAGGAGCUGGGAUUACAGGUAUAUGUUACCACGCAUGGCUAAUUUUUGUAUUUUUAGUAGAGAUGGAGUUUUGCCAUGUUGGCCAGGCUGGUCUCAAACUCCUGACCUAAAGUGAUCCACCCACCUCGGCCUCCCAAAGUGUUGGGAUUACAGGCGUGUGCCACUGUGCCUAGCCUCCUUUGAUUUUUAUAACAUAAAAUGUUACUUGAACAGGAUGUUUCCAUGGGUUAAGACAGAAAACUCCUAUGUAACAGGAAACAAUGAAUUCUACCACACUCCUUUCAGAUAAACAUUUUCUGAUCAACCUGUACUUUGGAAAGAGAACAACCUAACCCAAUUCUGUUUAAAACUUAAACAAAAAUUAUCCUCUAAACAUUCUUUCAGAACUAAUACAAGUGCUGGUAAGGAGAUUUUUAAAGUCAGUUUUGAAUGCCUAAUUUCCAAAUAGCCUUGGGGUGGUGAUUAGGGUAAAAAUUUAUGUAGGCUGUCCUAGCUAUCUGAUUUACAACAGGGAUUUUUCUUUUUCCUUCUUUGGUUUUAUACAGUAUUGGUAUUGCUUUUUUCUUUUUUUUCUUCUUCUUCUUUUUUUUUUUUUGGUAUUGAAUGGCAGUACAGAAGAGUAGUUGAAUGGACCUAUUUUUCAGCCAGAACAUCUAGGUUCAAAUCUUAGCUACACCACAUACCACCCUCCAUGAUCUUAGGUAAAUUAUGUAACCUCUCUGUGCCUUAGUUUUCUCUUCUAAAAAACAGAGAUGGUGGGCCGGUUGCGGUGGCUCACACCUGUAAUCCUAGCACUUUGGGAGGCCGAGGCGGGCAGACCACGAGGUCAGGAGUUCGAGACCAGCCUGGCCAAUAUGGUAAAACCCUGUCUCUACUAAAAAUACAAAAAUUAGCCGGGCAUGGUGGCACGCGCCUGUAGUCCCAGCUACUCAGGAGGCUGAGGCAGAAGAAUUGUUUGAACCCAAGACGGUGGAGGUUGCAGUGAGCCAAGACUGCGCCACUGCACUCCAGCCUGGGUGACACAGUGAGACUCCGUCUCAAAAAAACAAUAACAAAAAAACAAACAAACAAAAAAACAGAGAUGGUAAUAAUAAUAACUUCCUCUUAGGAUUAGGGUGAGGAGUAUGUCCAUUAUGUAAAACACUUAGGAGACUGCCAGUAUACAGUAACCUCUAUUAAAUGUUAACUUAUCUUUAGUGUUCUUAUAAAAAAUUCAUUCUUUACUUGCAAAAUGUUGCACAUGAACCAGUCCAAUGUCCAUAAACAGUGAACAGCCAACUGAACUAUACUCUUUUUCUCUCUAUAUAAAGACACAGUGAAGACCUGGUGUUGGUUGUAAGAGGUAUCCACGCUUAGGUUUCAGAGGAUCCCAAAGUCCUUGAAGUGUGCAAAAAUGAGUGUAUUAAGUGUGAAUGUAUAUUCUUCUGGAGAGGGAUCUAUAGCUUUCAACAGAGUCAUAAAGGGAUCUGUGACCUUCAAGGAUCCAAGUAUCAUUUGGAAUAUCAUUUCCAAAUACGCCCUUUUUGUGUAUCUUGAUUGCCUCACGAUUCUUAAAUUGUAUGCUUGUUUAAAUGCCCUUUUUGGUAAAAACAUUUGCACAGCUACACCAAGUUAGAAUUUUAUUAAGCUCCCAUUUCUUUAGUUUUGACCUGUAGCUUUCAUUUCAGAUUCCCAUCAGUGUAUUAGAACAAAUACAUUUUCUUAUAAAUAUGGGCUUAAAAAUGAGUGUUUCUAUGAAUAGUGCAAAUAUAGCACUCUUCUUUUUUUUUUUUUGAGACGGAGUUUUGCUCUGUUGCCCAGGCUGGAGUGCAGUGGUGUGAUCUCAGCCCACUGCAGCCUCUGCCUCCUGGGUUCAAGUGAUUCUCCUGCCUCAGCCUGCCGAGUAGCUGGGAUUACAGGCGCCUGCUACCAGGCCUGGCUAAUUUUUUUGUAUUUUUAGUAGAAAUGAAGUUUCACCACGUUGGCCAGGCUGGUCUCAAACUCCUGACCUCAAGUGAUCUGCCCACCUCAGCCUCCCAAAGUGCUGGGAUUACAGGCAUGAGCUACUGAGCCCAGCCAUAGCACCCUUCCAAAUGCUUCUUUCUAUCUGGUCCCAAGAGCACUGAUCCUGGAAUAGCUCUAUGCCUAGUUGCUAAGAAUUCCAGAAGAGGUCAAGUCACAAACUUUUAGAACAAGUGUAAAUAAAUACCUCCAAAAAUUCAAAAUAAGGUUUUAAUUCUGCUGUAAAGCAGAUAAUUGAUUUUUGUUAUUGACUACCUUUCUCCCCUUCUUCAGACAGGUGGGAAAUCAUUUAAUUUUUGCUUCUUAGUAAUGUUAUUUCCUUCUGCCAAUGAUUACAAGUGAUACUUAUCUGGGUUAUACUGUAAAAAAGCAAUCAAAAUAACUUUUGUUUAGUUCUAGCUGAGCUUAGUAUAGUGUGAGACAGGACCCAGUUCUAUAUGACCAACAACAAAUCAGUCUACAAUCUGCAGCCUGCAAUGUUCCAUCCACACAUUUACCUGUGAAGCAGUCAGGUUGGGAGAGGCUGCAGCUGACUGCUGGGCGUGGUGGUGGUGGUACUGCUGCU
rnacentral:lncRNA from 1 species